rnacentral:rRNA from 1 species
AACAUGCAAGUCGAACGAUGAAGCCCAGCUUGCUGGGUGGAUUAGUGGCGAACGGGUGAGUAACACGUGAGUAACCUGCCCUUAACUCUGGGAUAAGCCUGGGAAACUGGGUCUAAUACCGGAUAGGAGCGUCCACCGCAUGGUGGGUGUUGGAAAGAUUUAUCGGUUUUGGAUGGACUCGCGGCCUAUCAGCUUGUUGGUGAGGUAAUGGCUCACCAAGGCGACGACGGGUAGCCGGCCUGAGAGGGUGACCGGCCACACUGGGACUGAGACACGGCCCAGACUCCUACGGGAGGCAGCAGUGGGGAAUAUUGCACAAUGGGCGAAAGCCUGAUGCAGCGACGCCGCGUGAGGGAUGACGGCCUUCGGGUUGUAAACCUCUUUCAGUAGGGAAGAAGCGAAAGUGACGGUACCUGCAGAAGAAGCACCGGCUAACUACGUGCCAGCAGCCGCGGUAAUACGUAGGGUGCGAGCGUUAUCCGGGAAUUAUUGGGCGUAAAGAGCUCGUAGGCGGUUUGUCGCGUCUGUCGUGAAAGUCCGGGGCUUAACCCCGGAUCUGCGGUGGGUACGGGCAGACUAGAGUGCAGUAGGGGAGACUGGAAUUCCUGGUGUAGCGGUGGAAUGCGCAGAUAUCAGGAGGAACACCGAUGGCGAAGGCAGGUCUCUGGGCUGUAACUGACGCUGAGGAGCGAAAGCAUGGGGAGCGAACAGGAUUAGAUACCCUGGUAGUCCAUGCCGUAAACGUUGGGCACUAGGUGUGGGGACCAUUCCACGGUUUCCGCGCCGCAGCUAACGCAUUAAGUGCCCCGCCUGGGGAGUACGGCCGCAAGGCUAAAACUCAAAGGAAUUGACGGGGGCCCGCACAAGCGGCGGAGCAUGCGGAUUAAUUCGAUGCAACGCGAAGAACCUUACCAAGGCUUGACAUGUUCUCGAUCGCCGUAGAGAUACGGUUUCCCCUUUGGGGCGGGUUCACAGGUGGUGCAUGGUUGUCGUCAGCUCGUGUCGUGAGAUGUUGGGUUAAGUCCCGCAACGAGCGCAACCCUCGUUCCAUGUUGCCAGCACGUAAUGGUGGGGACUCAUGGGAGACUGCCGGGGUCAACUCGGAGGAAGGUGAGGACGACGUCAAAUCAUCAUGCCCCUUAUGUCUUGGGCUUCACGCAUGCUACAAUGGCCGGUACAAUGGGUUGCGAUACUGUGAGGUGGAGCUAAUCCCAAAAAGCCGGUCUCAGUUCGGAUUGGGGUCUGCAACUCGACCCCAUGAAGUCGGAGUCGCUAGUAAUCGCAGAUCAGCAACGCUGCGGUGAAUACGUUCCCGGGCCUUGUACACACCGCCCGUCAAGUCACGAAAGUUGGUAACACCCGAAGCCGGUGGCCUAACCCUUGUGGGGGAGCCGUCA